rnacentral:rRNA from 1 species
CCUACGGGGUGCUGCAGUGGGGAAUAUUGGACAAUGGGCGAAAGCCUGAUCCAGCCAUGCCGCGUGUGUGAGGAAGGCCUUCGGGUUGUAAAGCACUUUCAGUGGGGAAGAAAGCCUUGGGGCUAAUACCCUCGAGGAAGGACAUCACCCACAGAAGAAGCACCGGCUAACUCCGUGCCAGCAGCCGCGGUAAUACGGAGGGUGCGAGCGUUAAUCGGAAUUACUGGGCGUAAAGCGCGCGUAGGCGGUCUGAUAAGCCGGUUGUGAAAGCCCCGGGCUCAACCUGGGAACGGCAUCCGGAACUGUCAGGCUAGAGUGCAGGAGAGGAAGGUAGAAUUCCCGGUGUAGCGGUGAAAUGCGUAGAGAUCGGGAGGAAUACCAGUGGCGAAGGCGGCCUUCUGGACUGACACUGACGCUGAGGUGCGAAAGCGUGGGUAGCAAACAGGAUUAGAUACCCGAGUAGUC